ensembl:lncRNA
CACAAGUCAGAAUGGCUGCAAUUCCAAGCUUACGAAUUGUUUCCUUCCGGAACUCUUCGUCUCAUGCAUUUUCAGACCACAGUGGACCAUGGGGAACUGAAACGACAGAAAGCAAAGCCGUGGCUGAUGGGAGGCAGCUGUGUGUGUAAACAUUCAAAACAAGGAGGUUUUGAGCAACUCUAAACCUUGGCCCGGCUGGACUGAAAAGAGAAAGAGGGACGACGGCAAGAGGAAGCAUGAGAACAGAUCAUGCAGGAUCAGAUGGAGAGACAGAGUUGAUGGGUUAGUCAUGUCUACUGGUGCCCAAGGUCAAGUGCUCAAUUCCAGAAGGCAGAACCAAGAGGCUGAAUGUUGCUUCAAAUUCUGGUACAAUGUAGGCCACCAGAGGCUUGGAAAGGUCCCAGGGUUCAGAGAGACAUUGGCUUUUUAUUAGGUAUUGAUUGCUAUGUACCAAAAUACUGCAGAAGUUAGAUUGAAAGGACAAAGAGCUGUUGUAGAGUUUCUAAGGGCCAGGAGUUUGGGAGUGGCUUAGUGUAGUUCCAGCCCAUGAGGGGACAGUCAGCUGCUGACCAGGGCACCAGGCAUCUGAUGCUGGAGAAUCUGCUACCAAGCUCACUCACGUGGGUGUUGGCAGGCCUUGGCUCCUCCCAGGCUGUUGGAAAGAGGACCACAGGGGCCUCUCUCUCCAUAGGGCUCCCUCCGGAUUCAAAAUACUUGGCAACUGGCUUCUUCUAGAGUAAGUGAUCCAAAAGGGGGAGAGAACCCAAAACAACACUUCAAUGUCUUUUAUAACUAGAGGUGGCUAUGGCUGCAUGCUGUUAAUCACACAGACCAAUCCUGAUACAAGGUGGGAGGAGAUGACACAAGAUCACUAGGCAUAGGGAUCAUUGUGGGUGUUUGAGUCUGGGUGUCACUAGAUGGGAAUCAUUGCAGGUCAUAUUGGAAGCUGGCUACCAUCCUCCUGGACCCUCCUACCUAGCAAAGAGUAAGUGUCGGAAGGAGGAGGCCCUAGUCCAGCUAGCAAUCAAGGAAUAAUGGCCACGCUUCUCAGCUCAGCUCCUGUUCUUUGUGCUUCUAUAAGGAACAUUGUGGACUGGAGGAAUCACUGACACGCUAGAGUCCCACAGAAAUGCCAUCUAGUGUUAUUAAACUCCUCCUCCUCUUGGACAGUCAUGGUAGACAAAGUGGGUACAUUCACAGAAUCUGGGAACCAACCACUACAUUAUUAAUAGAAGGUUAUGGUCUCUAGUGGUCUUCCCUGGCAGCUCAGAUGGUAAAGAAUCUGCCUGCCAUGUAGGAGACCCAGGUUUGACCCCUGGGUCGGGAAGAUCCCCUGGAGAAGGAAAUGGCAACCCACUCCAGUAUUCUUGCCUGGAGAAUCCCAUGGACGGAGGACUCUGGUGGGCUACAGUCCCUAGGGUCGCAAAGAGUUGGGCAUGACUGAGUGGCUAACACUAUCUCUAGUAUAUGACUGGUUCUUGGAUCAUGGUCUGCAUUAGAAAUACAGGGGUUCAGGGGAAUCCUAGGGUCAGGGAAGGCUCUCUCUGAGACAUUAAAUUGUGGAAGUGGCUGCACCUGUUAUGAGUCUCUGCUGACUAAUCUUGCUCCACCUGGAGAGGGAAGGGCUAUGACCUGGGCCAGAGAAAAUGCAAUUCCAAACAAGCCCUUUAAUCUUUGUGGGUAGAAUGGCUUCUGCCAUCACAACUGUUCCUCCUUCAUCUCAAAAUACUCAUUCUUAGAUGCUUCUCAGGAUAUGUUUUGCUUCACCAGUGGGGAACUGAUAUUGCCAGCAAACUGAUAGAAAAGAGAGAUUGGGUGCUGCCUUUGGAGUAGUCGAGUCAGCCAUGGCCUGGGGGAUCCAAAGGCUGAGGAAAGAGUAUGGUCCUGAGAGCCCAAUGCAUUGCAUUGGGUUUUUGGAGCAUAAGCAAGGGGACAGGUUCUAUAGCUCUUCAAGUGGGGUUUCUGCAAGGUUUGGAAAGAAGUGGCAAAGGUCAUUGAGUUCACUGGACUACUACUAUGUUAAAAAAAAAUUUGCAUCAGGACAAGCUAGAGUGUUUGGGCUUCCCAGGUGUCACAGUGGUUAAGAACUUUCCUGCCAAUGCAGAAGGCACAAGAGAUGCAGGUCCAAUCCCUGGGCCAGGAAGAUCUCCUGGAGAAGGAAAUGACAGCUCACUCCAGUAUUCUUGCCUGGAAAAGUCCAUGAACAGAGGACCCUAGUGGGCCACAGUACCAGCAGUUGCAAAACGCUGGACAUGACUGAGUGGCUGAGCACACACACAAGCUAGACUGUACUGUAAUAACACAUACUCUCUCCAUUUUGGUGGCUUAAAGAUAGAUUUUUCUGUCAUACAUUGUGUUCAUAAUGGAUUAACUUGGUGGUUGUCAUCAUAGUCACUCAGGGACCCAGACUGGUGAAGCAUCUAAAAUUUUGAACUGGACAGCUCAUCUCACCAGAAGCAAAGAGCUCUCCUGGGGAGUCUCACACCAGAUAGUGUGUUUGGGCUUCAAUGUUGGGCUACAGACAGACACACAUCUCUCCCAGUCACUCCGACUCAAGAUUCAUUGGCUAAGCUAGUCAUGUCAUAACACCCUAACCAACCACAGGGAACCAGGAAUGGGAAAGAUGGAUAAAUAUUUGGUGAACAGCAUUAUUGACGAGCGCUCUGG